rnacentral:lncRNA from 13 species
UUUGUCAGAGUACAUUGUCCCUAUCAGACUUAGGUUAAUUGGGCUGGAAAAAUAAGGAGCCAUGAGUGAAUGAAGGAAUAAAGGAAAGACAGAAGUAGAGGAAGACACAGAAAUAUCUCUUUUCUCUUUCAGGGUAGUAAGGUAUCCUCUAGUCACAUAGGUGAUACUUUUUAAUUGCCAUCAUUGCCUUGCUAAUAUGAUUUAAUCAUAUUAUUGCAGACAGCUAGGCAAAUUAAUAGGCUGAGUUGUACAUAUGUGGGAUGGAUAAUAGUAUAAAAUGUAAACGUUCAGCCUUGGUUACAUAGUGGCAUUAUAAUUAAUGUAAUGUAUUUGGCACCUGAGGGCCAAUUCUCCACUGCCCACUGUGGGAACCAGAUAAUUGACCAAGAAGUAGUUGGUGUUUUAAAAGCAGCUGAUGGAAGUAGGAGCAGGAUAGCCGAGGAUGGACUUUGUUUUUUUCUUCCAAAGGAUAUAACUGAACCUUGAUGAUCAAAAUUUGUGACCAGCCGGCAAAAGAAUAUAAUGUUGAGGAUGGAUGGGGAAAAUAUAUCACCCUGAACAGUAUCUCUGGCAUCUUACCUUCUCUCUGGUUUCCUUAUUAUUGGAGCUAAUCCAUUUCGCUGUGAGCACAUGAGAUUCUACUGUUCUCCUACCAGGACCAAGCAACAGUUUAGAAUGAAAGUGUCUGCAGAGCCAGUUCAAAGUUGCUGUCAGGAGCCCUGUAGCAACAUUUCAUCUCUUUUUUUUUUGGAGGAGGUGGGGUUUGAGGUCCUGGCACAGCACCUAAUUCAAGGUGAAUAUUUUAGAAAUGAUGAUGGAAUUGCAUUCAACAAAUCACACUGAUUAUCAACUUGUAAGUGAUGGCUGAAGUUGAGUUAUUAGCCUUAAGAUUUUGUAAUCAAUGCCAUUGUCCACUUGUUUCUCUUUUUACUUUUGAGAAUUCAUGCCUCAAAAUAAUACUAUUUUAAAUGAGUAACAAAAAUAUUCUUCUACAGGUUAUAUAUAAACUAUGAAAAAUUUUCAUAUCAAUUUGUGAAUAUAUUAAAUGUCACUGCUAUUAUUAUAAAAAAUAUUUGAAAUAAUGCUUUUUAUUUAAAGGUAAAAUAUUUGAAUUAGUCUACUAAGUACCUUGAUGAACAUUACUAGUCAAGUUGUACAUAAAUAAGGCAUGGAUUUUCUAAAAUUUAUGAAGUAAGCACAUGCUAUUGUUGUUAUUAAGACUAUUAUUACUAGUCCCAGUAGAAUUUCCAACCAUGUCACUGAGCAUGAAACACCAUAUAGAUGAAUAAGCAAGUCUAACACAUUUACCUUCCACUAACCACAAAUUUUUCUUUACUGGUUCUGUACUGCCCCACACAGAAACUGCCUAUCUCUAACUUAUUACUUAAAUAAACUGCUUUUACUUACAAAAUUGAGAGGAAAU